AUUGAACGCUGGCGGUAUGCUUAAGACAUGCAAGUCGAACGGUAACAGACCUUCGGGUGCUGACGAGUGGCGGACGGGUGAGUAACACGUGGGAAUCUACCUUGUAGUGGGGGAUAAGCCAGGGAAACUUGGACUAAUACCGCAUACGCCCUAAGGGGGAAAGGAGCAAUUCGCUAUAAGAUGAGCCCGCGUCUGAUUAGCUAGUUGGUGAGGUAAAGGCUCACCAAGGCGACGAUCAGUAGCUGGUCUGAGAGGAUGACCAGCCACAUUGGGACUGAGGCACGGCCCAGACUCCUACGGGAGGCAGCAGUCGGGAAUAUUGGACAAUGGGGGCAACCCUGAUCCAGCAAUACCGCGUGUGUGAAGAAGGCCUGCGGGUUGUAAAGCACUUUUAGUAGGGAAGAUAAUGACGUUACCUACAGAAAAAGCACCGGCUAACUCCGUG
rnacentral:rRNA from 1 species